UACAGAGGUGGCAAGCGUUGUUCGGAAUUACUGGGCGUAAAGGGCGCGUAGGCGGCCUUCUUAGUCGGACGUGAAAUCCCCAGGCUCAACUUGGGAACUGCGUCCGAUACUGGAUGGCUUGAGAUUGGGAGAGGGAUGCGGAAUUCCAGGUGUAGCGGUGAAAUGCGUAGAUAUCUGGAGGAACACCGGUGGCGAAGGCGGCAUUCUGGACCGAAACUGACGCUGAGGCGCGAAAGCCAGGGGAGCAAACGGG
rnacentral:rRNA from 1 species